GACGAACGCUGGCGGCGUGCCUAAUACAUGCAAGUAGGACGCAGUUGCGAACGGGUGAGUAACGCGUAGGUAACUGCCUAUUAGAGGGGGAUAACUAUUGGAAACGAUAGCUAAUACCGCAUACUAGUAGAUGGACCUGCGUUGUAUUAGCUAGUAGGUAGGGUAAUGGCCUACCUAGGCGACGAUACAUAGCCGGACCGAGAGGGUGGUCGGCCAAACUUGGACCGGGAAACGGCCCAGACUCCUACGGGGGGGCGGAGGAGGGAAUCUUUGGGAAUGGGGCGAAACCCGGACGAGCCAACCCGCGUGAGUGAAGAAGGUUUUCGGAUCGGAAAGCUCUGUUGGUAAGGGAGCGGUACUUAACCAGAAAGGGACGGCUAACUACGUGCCAGCAGCCGCGGUAAUAC
rnacentral:rRNA from 1 species